GUCUAUGGCCAUGCUACCCUGAACAAGCCCAGAUCUUGUAAGCUAAGCAGGAUCGGUUAGUACUUGGAUGGGAGACCACCUAGGAAGACCAGGUGCUGUAGGCA
rnacentral:rRNA from 1 species